rnacentral:rRNA from 1 species
ACUACGAGCAAUAGCUUAAAACCAAAGGGACUUGGCGGUGCUCCACAUCCACCUAGAGGAGCCUGUUCUAUAAUCGAUAACCCCCAAUAAACCUCACCACCCAUAGCCAAUCAGCCUAUAUACCUCCGCCGUCAGCUUACCCUUUAAGGGAAAUCAAGUGAGCAAAAUGAAAACAUCAAAAACGUCAGGUCAAGGUGUAGCGGAUAAGGUGGGAGUAAUUGGGCUACAUUUUCUUAAUUUAGAAAACUACGCCCCCUUUUAUGCCCAACUAUUUAAAGGUGGAUUUAGCAGUAAAAAGAAACAAUAGUAUUCUUUUUAAUUAGGCUAUAGAGCGCGCACACACCGCCCGUCACCCUCUUCAACAUCUAUAUUUAAGUAAUUAACUAACCCCAAUAACCAAACAAAGAAGAGGAAAGUCGUAACAUGGUAA